UUUUCCCGGGGGCCGUGCCCGACCACCGGCAGGAGCGCCGUGCCUGGCCACCGGCAGGAGCGCCGUGCAGAGGGGCCUACCCCGCGGGCCGGGCCGGCUGCCUCCCGGGGCCGCAGACACCAGGCACGGCAGAAGCGAGCAGAGUCCGCUUUCCUCGGGACAGUCCCCCCAAGAAGAUGGAGCUGAACCGGCGCAAAGGAGGAGCGAAGAGGGGGAUUCACCGGACGGCUCUGAUACCCCGCACCUCCCUCCGCCGCCACCCCGGCACAACUGCCAGCCGGGGUCCCCGCAUAGCCCGCAACACCGGCCGCGGCUCCCGGGGGCUGGGGGGGGGGGGCUCAUUUUCUUGCAUGCGGCUGCAACGAGCUGUUCUCGGCUUUAGGCCUCACAGGACCAGGGCUGCUCCUUGCAGCCAGCCCGUCACCCCUGUGUCAAGCCUUCCUUUCGGGCAGUAAGCGCACCGCUGCCGCCUCUGCCUCGGCAAGCCGGCUCCUUUCCACGCCCGGCGGCUUCUCCCUCUCUAGCACCCCUGCAAGCACCCAGCUUCCGAUGAGUGUUUGUCUCGGAUUAUGUGCCUCCCUCCCCCCCAAACCUCUCUGGGGCCGCGGGGCUGCCCCCUGCCUCCGGUACGGGCCGGGCGGGAGGAGGACGGCCCCUCCCGGGGUGGUUACCUUCGGGGAAGACGGCUCGCAUUUUCAGUCUUUGCCGCGUUCUUGGAUUUUUCCUUCAUCGCGACUACUGCAAGGCGAAGAUGACACUGGCAUAUUAGACCCGAUUCUUCUGAAUUUCAGGGGGCAUGGAUUUCGGCUUCAGAGUUAGUAUUUUCGUUUAAGAAAGGGAGGGAGGGAAUUCACCCAAAUCAAAUCAAAUGAUAAUAAUAAAAAAUAAAAGUAAAAAGGGAGGAAAAACAGGGGAGAGAAAAAAUGUCAAAUCAACCAAACAAAAACACCACCAACAGAAAUGGUGCGAGGAGGGGGAAGGCGAUCUCUGAGCCACAACCACGACAGGCAAGGCGCUCGGGAGAAAACAGUUCUGCUCUGACCCUGCAGUAUCUGGCUCUUGGAAACAGAGACUGAAAGACCUACACGAACCCCGGUCCUCUGCCUGCAGCUGGAAUCGGAUCUUCUCCGCAACGGGGAACAAAUCACCGGGUUCCCUUCACUGGGGGUUUUCUUCUACUCAAUCCGUCCUCGUCCAAAAAUAAUAAAAAAAUAUAUUAAAAAUA